rnacentral:sRNA from 1 species
GGCUGCAUAUGUUCAGGCUCGGCUCGUCUUCAUAGGAUA